AUGUACUUACUUUUCUGAAGACUCAGGGGUGCUGGCUGGCUUGGCCUCAGGUGUGCUCCCUCCUUCUCACCUUCACGGUUGCCGACACGACACGAGACUCCGCCUCCGCGUGAUGUCACAAAACUCUGCGUACGCAAAGGGCAGUGGAGGUCGGAGGAGGAGCAACCCGGAAGUACGUCCUCCGCUCCUGAGUCCUGACUCCUUCACUAUGCGAUGCCGCUCGCUCGCAUAGUGAAGGCUCUGCUCAGGAGGAGCACCGGCUGGGCUCAAGAGGCUGCUGCCCUGGUCCUGCAGGAGCAAAGGGAAUGGCGUUCCUGCCAUGGAAAAAGUGCAGGAACGCCGUUCCCACGCGUUCCUGCAGGACUCGAGCCCUGUUUGCAGGGUUAUAUAGGCUUUAAAUCCCUCCCACAACUUCAGACAUACGCCUUCUAUUUGUGUACGGGAUUAUGAAAGGGGGCGUACACUUAAAGUGAGGGUAGGUUUGAUAAACACAAGUUUAGGUGUGCCGAAACUGACGAGAGGUUAGGCCUGUAAAAAGAGGGCCAAAAAGUAUUUAAACAUGUUUAUUUAUUACAACAACAACAACAUUAUUUAGACAUAUUAUAGAAAGUGAGUCUGAUUUCUUUCUCUGGGUUUGGAAUGUACCGGUUGUAUGCAGAAGAUUUACAGCGACCAAUUUUCUUUAUGAUAUGUGUCGGAACCCGACUACUAGUGGCAGCCCCAAUUCAGAAUGAGUGUCCUGAGAAGGAAUUUGAAUAAGUAUAGCAUGAAUUGUUUAGUAGUAAGUGGCUUUCCUUGUAGGGAUAACAGAGGCAGUUCUGGAUUUCUAAGAUGCUGAUUUUUUAUCAAAUUAUCUAGCAGUUGAACUGGGCACCAUUUGGAACCGGUAGGGAAAUAAUUAAUCUCCACUGAGGAGCCUACUUGGUUUGUUUUUGUGCAGGGGAUCGAUAGGACGUAAUGAUCGUUUACUUAGGUUAAGUUUUUCUGUUUAAGGCAAAUGUCAAUGUCAGAUAUUUUUUCUACCGUAAAUUCUUUGGGUAUUAGAAACCCAAAAAGGCCGCUGAUUUAAUGAUCAGGUUAGUGGUAUGUUCAAAAGGACUUUUAUCUAAUAACUUGGAGAUUUCUUUAAAGAUGUUACUGUCUAUGGGAAGUCUUUUUUAGGGAUUUUUGGAUUUUUAGUCUCUGGAUACCUUUUAGUAUGUUUUUUAUGGGGUAUGUGGAUAAGAAAGGAGUCUUGUUUGGAUAAAGAGUUAGCAUGAAAUGUUGUAUCCCCGCCAAGUAUAGUUUGAUGGUAUUGUAGGCUAGUUUUAAUGAGAAGUGGCAAAAAAGUUGUAAAAGCAACCAUGUU